CAAGUCGAGCGGACUUAAAAAGCUUGCUUUUUAAGUUAGCGGCGGACGGGUGAGUAACACGUGGGCAACCUGCCUGUAAGACUGGGAUAACUUCGGGAAACCGGAGCUAAUACCGGAUAAUCCUUUUCUACUCAUGUAGAAAAGCUGAAAGACGGUUUACGCUGUCACUUACAGAUGGGCCCGCGGCGCAUUAGCUAGUUGGUGAGGUAACGGCUCACCAAGGCGACGAUGCGUAGCCGACCUGAGAGGGUGAUCGGCCACACUGGGACUGAGACACGGCCCAGACUCCUACGGGAGGCAGCAGUAGGGAAUCUUCCGCAAUGGACGAAAGUCUGACGGAGCAACGCCGCGUGAGUGAUGAAGGUUUUCGGAUCGUAAAACUCUGUUGUUAGGGAAGAACAAGUACGAGAGUAACUGCUCGUACCUUGACGGUACCUAACCAGAAAGCCACGGCUAACUACGUGCCAGCAGCCGCGGUAAUACGUAGGUGGCAAGCGUUGUCCGGAAUUAUUGGGCGUAAAGCGCGCGCAGGCGGUCCUUUAAGUCUGAUGUGAAAGCCCACGGCUCAACCGUGGAGGGUCAUUGGAAACUGGGGGACUUGAGUGCAGAAGAGAAGAGUGGAAUUCCACGUGUAGCGGUGAAAUGCGUAGAGAUGUGGAGGAACACCAGUGGCGAAGGCGACUCUUUGGUCUGUAACUGACGCUGAGGCGCGAAAGCGUGGGGAGCAAACAGGAUUAGAUACCCUGGUAGUCCACGCCGUAAACGAUGAGUGCUAAGUGUUAGAGGGUUUCCGCCCUUUAGUGCUGCAGCAAACGCAUUAAGCACUCCCCCUGGGGAGUAC
rnacentral:rRNA from 1 species